rnacentral:rRNA from 1 species
GGUAGCAUAAUCAAUAGUCUCUUAAUUGGGGACUGGAAUGAACGACGUGACGAAAAGUAAGCUGUCUUUAAUAUAAAGAUUGAAUUUUACUUUCAAGUGAAAAGGCUUGACUGGAAUUAAGGGACGAUAAGACCCUAUAAAACUUAACAUCGUUAACUUGUUUUUUAAAUUUAAUGUGAAAAAGGUAUCAGGUAACUGCUGUUUGGUUGGGGCGACUAAGAUAUAAUUAAAUAACUGUCUUUAGAUAAAAAUAAUGAUAAUUGAGCCUUUAUUAAGGAUUAAAAAAUUAAGUUACUUUAGGGAUAACAGCGUAAUUUUUUCUGAGAGUUCUUAUCGAAGAAAUUAGUUGCGACCUCGAUGUUGAAUUAAAAUUUCUUAUAAAUGUAGCAGUUUAAUAAGUAGGUCUGUUCGACCUUUAAAAUUUUACAUGAUUUGAGUUCAAACCGGUGUGAG